UACGUAGGGACCGAGCGUUGUCCGGAAUCAUUGGGCGUAAAGAGCGUGUAGGCGGCCACUUAAGUCCUGCGUGAAAUCUUGCGGCUCAACCGCAAGCGGUCGUGGGAAACUGGGUGGCUAGAGUGCGGGAGAGGAGAGUGGAAUUCCUGGUGUAGCGGUGGAAAGCGCAGAUAUCAGGAAGAACACCCGUGGCGAAGGCGGCUCUCUGGAACGCAACUGACGCUGAGACGCGAAAGCGUGGGGAGCAAACAGG
rnacentral:rRNA from 1 species